CUCUUCUUGUUCUUGUUCCAGGUGGGAUUUUUCCCUGGUGAGUGCGUGGAGCUCAUCAACGGAAAAAUUCCUGAGGCCCUCAUCGAUUCAGCACCGAAGCCAGGUACGGAUGUUACAUGUGAUGGCGCGGGGAAGUCAGAGGGAGUCUUUUUCUGGGUGUGUUCCGUGUUGAAUAGCUCCUUUAUCCAUCCCACGUUAUCCUCUGUGUUGAUGAUCCUUCAUGCAUCCCACGGGGCAUACGGCUGCUGUUUUGUAGGCAGUGAGAGUGAGGGCUUGGGCAAAUGAUAGGAUCCUCGUAGAAUGGCUUGGGAUGGAAGGGACCUCAAGGAUCAUCAAGCUCCAAGCCCCGUGCCUCAGGCUGGGCUGCCAACCUCCACUUUGAAUGCCAGACUAGACCAGGCUGCCCAGGGCCCCAUCCAACGUGGCCUUGGAGUCCUCCGGGGACGGGGAAAAUCCGCUGCUGUAUGUACUUGUUGGCAAUGUUCUUCCCGCUUUUACGUGCUCUGUAGAAUGUGUGACGCUCGGCCUGGUCCCACUGAUCCCUACGUGAAAUGAACUGGUUUCUUCCUUGUGUUGUGCAGUGCCAAAGAAGCGCGGCAAGCUCAUCAGCUUCCUUCGUUCCUUCGCGAAGGCCCGCCCAAAGGAACCGAAGCAGCGGGAGAUGGCGAAGGAGAAGGAAGGGGUGUUUGGCUGUGACCUGGGAGAGCAUCUUCUCCACUCUGGCCGUGACGGUAAGAAACAGCCCGUUCCUGAGAGCUUCCUCUGUUGGGCAUGUAAAGAUGAAAGGGAGAUCACCUCUGGCAAGGGUCAGGUUGAUAGCAGUGGAGAAAGGUGAGGUGGCAGUUGAUGGCUGAAAUGUAAGCUGAGGCUAAUGCCCAUAGGAGAGCAGCCCACUUGUAUUUGCUUAAAGCAAAAGGUGUAAGCCAAUGCCACGCUAGCCUGAAAACAAAGGCAGCCUUUUGGCCCAAGAGAGUGUACUGCAUCAGUUUCUAGCUCUUCUGGACGUGAG
ensembl:lncRNA